GUCUGGAAGCAGGUGUGGGGGUUGCUGAGGUGCAGGUGUGUCGUAGGGAUUAGGAUUGCUGAGUUGCAGGUCUGGUUGCAGGGUCUUGUCUACAGGGGUGGAGGUUGCUGAGUAGCAGGUCUCGUUUCAGGGGUCCUCGUCUGCAGCAGUCGGGUUCCUGAGUUGCAUGUCUAGUUUUAGGGGUCCUUGUCUGCAGGGGUGUGGGUUGCUGAGUUUCAGGGGUCCUUUUCUGCAGGAGUGGGUGUUCCUGAGUUGCAGGUCUGGUUGCAGGGGUCCUUGUCUACAGGGGUGGGGUUGCUGAGGCCAGGCCUGAUCGCAGAGGUCCUUGUGUGCAGGGAUGGGGGUUCCUCAGUUGCAGGUCUGGUUGCAGGGGACCUUGUAUGCAGGGGUGGGGGUUCAUGAGGCCAGUUGUGGUUACAGGGACCCUUGUGUGCAGGGCUGGGGGUUGCUGAGGCCAGGUCUGGUCCCAGGGGUCCUUGUGUGCAGGAGUGGGGAUUGCUGAGUUGCAGUUCUGGUUGCAGGGGUCUGGUGUGCAGGGGUGGGGGUUGCUGAGUUGCAGGUCUG